UCUAGAUCCAGGGAAGUCAUGCUACCCCUCUGUUUUGCCUUGGUCAGACCACACUUGGAAUACUGUGUCCAAUUCUGGGCAAUUGAAGGGAGACCUUGACAAGCUGGAAUAUGUCCAGAGUGGCUAAAAUGAUCAAGGGUCUGGAGAACAAGCCCUAUGAGGAGCGGCUUAAAGAGCUGGGCAUGUUUAGUUUGAAGAAGAGAAGGCUGAGAGGAGACAUGAUAGCCAUGUAUAAUAUGUGAGGGAAGUCAUAGGGAGGAGGGAGCAAGCUUGUUUUCUGCUGCCCUGGAGACUAGGACGUGGAACAAUGGCUUCAGACUCCAGGAAAGGAGAUUCCACCUGAACUUCCUAACUGUGAGAGCUGUUUAGCUGUGGAACUCUCUGCCUCGGAGUGUGGUGGAGGUUCCUUCUUUGGAGGCUUUUAAGCAGAGGCUGGAUGGCCAUCUGUCAGGGGUACUUUGAAUGUGAAUUUCUUGCUUCUUGGCAGGGGGUUGGAAUGGAUGGUGCAUGAGAUCUCUUCCAACUCUAUGAUUCUAUCCUUUUGAGUCAUAAAGAUUGACCAGGCACUUUACCAGUCAUGUAUUGAGAAGAGUAAGUGAAUGCCUACAUCAGGUUGUAAUGGGGAAAUAUUCUUACUUGUUCAUUUUAUUAACCCAAGUUAUCUUUCUAUGUCUGAAGUAUAGUGAAGUAACUUACUUUUAUAUAUUUUUUUCUUUUGUCCAGCCAAAGGGAGUUCUUUGGAGCUGGCUAGUUCCAUGCCAGCAACCAACUCAGUGGGUGAGAAGCUCACAUCCGGACAGAAUUAUGAAAGGGAAUUCUGUUAUGGUUAUAAUGACGAUGAUGAAAAAAAUCACAUAAACUCAAAAGAUGAGAAUAAAGAAGCUGACCUUGAGAAUGCUGAAGUGGAAUAUACUGAAGUGGAUGUCUCCAUUCCUGAUCCUCACAGAGGUAAUUAAACAACUGACUUAUAUGACUGUAUAUCUCAGGAAUAACACUAGGGCCCUAUUUACACUGCCAUUAUAAUGCAUUGGAUUAUAUGGCAGUGUAGACUCAUAUAAUCUAGUUCAAUGCAGUUAGCCUGCAUCAUAUGAGUCUAUACUGACCAUAUAAUGUAGUUCAGACUGCAUUAUAUGGCAGUGUAGAAGGGGCCUAGAUUAUAAAAUUCCAGUUGUU
rnacentral:lncRNA from 11 species